rnacentral:rRNA from 1 species
GAUGAACGCUGGCGGCGUGCCUAAUACGUGCAAGUCGAGCGAACAGAUAAGGAGCUUGCUCCUUUGACGUUAGCGGCGGACGGGUGAGUAACACGUGGAUAACCUACCUAUAAGACUGGGAUAACCUCGGGAAACCGGAGCUAAUACCGGAUAACAUAUUGAACCGCAUGGUUCAAUAGUGAAAGGCGGCUUUGCUGUCACUUAUAGAUGGAUCCGCGCCGUAUUAGCUAGUUGGUAAGGUAACGGCUUACCAAGGCAACGAUACGUAGCCGACCUGAGAGGGUGAUCGGCCACACUGGAACUGAGACAUGGUCCAGGCUCCUACGGGAGGCAGCAGUAGGGAAUCUUCCGCAAUGGGCGAAAGCCUGACGGAGCAACGCCGCGUGAGUGAUGAAGGUCUUCGGAUCGUAAAACUCUGUUAUCAGGGAAGAACAAAUGUGUAAGUAACUGUGCACAUCUUGACGGUACCUGAUCAGAAAGCCACGGCUAACUACGUG